rnacentral:tRNA from 1 species
GGGCGGCUAGCUCAGCUGGUUAGAGCGCGUCACUGAUAAUGACGAGGUCAGGAGUUCAAGUCUCUUGCCGCCCACCA